rnacentral:rRNA from 1 species
UUCCGUAGGUGAACCUGCGGAAGGAUCAUUACUGUGAUUUAUAUCUUAUACACAUGCGUGAGCGCACCAAACACCUAAAAUUGUAAUACUACCAGUCACUAAGUUUUAACAAAACAAAACUUUCAACAACGGAUCUCUUGGUUCUCGCAUCGAUGAAGAGCGCAGCGAAAUGCGAUACCUAGUGUGAAUUGCAGCCAUCGUGAAUCAUCGAGUUCUUGAACGCACAUUGCGCCCCAUGGUAUUCCAUGGGGCAUGCCUGUCUGAGCGUCGUUUCCUUCUUGCGCAAGCAGAGUUGAGAACAGGCUAUGCCUUUUUCGAAAUGGAACGUCGUGGACGAAGUGAACUAAAUUUUUAGCACGCUUUGGCCGCCGAACUUUUAACUAAGCUCGACCUCAGAUCAGGUAGGAAUACCCGCUGAACUUAAGCAUAUCAAUAAGCGGAGGAA